rnacentral:rRNA from 1 species
GUUAAAAAGCUCGUAGUUGGAUCUCGGCGGGCAGGGGGUGGUUCGCUCUUCAGCGCUACUGCCCCGCUUUGCCCGUGUGAUUGGCGGAGGUUUCGGGGUGCUCUUCGUUGAGUGACUCGGAGCGCCGUCAGGUUUACUUUGAAAAAAUUAGAGUGCUCAAAGCAGGCUUUUCACGCUUGAAUAUUCGUGCAUGGAAUAAUGGAAUAGGAACUCGUUUCUAUUUUGUUGGUUUUCGGAAAUCGAGUUAAUGAUUAACAGGGACAAUUGGGGGCAUUAGUAUUCAGACGACAGAGGUGAAAUUCUUGGACCGUCUGAAGACUGACUACUGCGAAAGCAUUUGCCAAGAGUGUUUUCAUUAAUCAAGAACGAAAGUUAGAGGUUCGAAGGCGAUCAGAUACCGCCCUAGUUCUAACCAUAAACGAUGCCAGCUAGCGAUCUGCCGAGUUUUUUUUGUAGGCUCCGCAGGAAGCUUUCGGGAAACCAAAGCUUUUGGGUUCCGGGGGAAGUAUGGUUGCAAAGCUGAAACUUAAAGGAAUUGACGGAAGGGCACCACCAGGAGUGGAGCCUGCGGCUUAAUUUGACUCAACACGGGAAAUCUCACCAGGCCCGGACACUGGAAGGAUUGACAGAUUGAUAGCUCUUUCUUGAUUUUAUGGGUGGUGGUGCAUGGCCGUUCUUAGUUGGUGGAGUGAUUUGUCUGGUUAAUUCCGAUAACGAACGAGACUCUGUCCUGCUAAAUAGUUGGGUCGUCCUUCGUGCGAUCCAAGUUCUUCUUAGAGGGACUGGCUGCGUCUAGCAGCACGAGAUUGAGCAAUAACAG